rnacentral:rRNA from 1 species
CAGCCGCCGCGGUAACACCGAGGGUGCGAGCGUUAAUCGGAUUUACUGGGCGUAAAGCGUGCGUAGGCGGCUUCUUAAGUCGGAUGUGAAAUCCCUGAGCUUAACUUAGGAAUUGCAUUCGAUACUGGGAAGCUAGAGUAUGGGAGAGGAUGGUAGAAUUCCAGGUGUAGCGGUGAAAUGCGUAGAGAUCUGGAGGAAUACCGAUGGCGAAGGCAGCCAUCUGGCCUAAUACUGACGCUGAGGUACGAAAGCAUGGGGAGCAAACAGGAUUAGAUACCCCUGUAGUCCCUGUCUCUUAUAC